UAGGGAAUCUUCGGCAAUGGACGAAAGUCUGACCGAGCAACGCCGCGUGAGUGAAGAAGGUUCUCGGGAUCGUAAAACUCUGUUGGUUAGAGAAGAACGUUGGUGAGAGUGGAAAGCUCAUCAAGUGACGGUAACUACCCAGAAAGGGACGCUAACUACGUACCAG
rnacentral:rRNA from 1 species